rnacentral:rRNA from 1 species
UACAGAGGUCUCAAGCGUUGUUCGGAUUCAUUGGGCGUAAAAGGGUGCGUAGGCGGCGCGGUAAGUCGGGUGUGAAAUCUCGGAGCUUAACUCCGAAACUGCAUUCGAUACUGCCGUGCUUGAGGACUGGAGAGGAGACUGGAAUUUACGGUGUAGCGGUGAAAUGCGUAGAUAUCGUAAGGAAGACCAGUGGCGAAGGCGGGUCUCUGGACAGUUCCUGACGCUGAGGCACGAAGGUCAGGGGGAGCAAAACGGGG